CSGGGGGWWAUUGCCUUAGUAGCGGCGAGUGAAGCGGCAAAAGCUCAAAUUUGAAAUCUGGUACUUUCAGUGCCCGAGUUGUAAUUUGAAGAAGGUAUCUUUGGGUCUGGCGCUUGUCUAUGUUUCUUGGAACAGAACGUCACAGAGGGUGAGAAUCCCGUGCGAUGAGAUGAUCCAGGCCUAUGUWAAGUUCCUUCGACGAGUCGAGUUGUUUGGKAAUGCAGCUCUAAGUGGGUGGUAAAUUCCAUCUUAAGCUAAAUAUUGGCGAGAGACCGACACCGAACAAGUACAGUGAUGRAAAGAUGAAAAGAACUUUGAAAAGAGAGUGAUAAAGUACGUGAAAUUGUUGAAAGGRAAGGGCUUGAGAUCWGACUUGRKAUUUUGUAUGUUACUUCUUCGGGGGUGGCCUCUACWGUUUAACGGGCCAGCAUCAGUUUGGACGGUAGGACAAUUGCCCGWGGAUUGUGUCACGGCAUCACUUGUSUGUCACAGCCACUGUCGAAWCUGCMAUUUGAGACUGAGGACUGCCACUUAUACCUACGRAWGUUGKCMUAWGUGAUCUUUCUUUUCCCCCGCUUGAAMACGGCCAC
rnacentral:rRNA from 1 species